rnacentral:rRNA from 1 species
GUCUUUUAGAAUUUAAUUAAAAGUCUAAUCUGCUCAAUGAAUAAUUUUAAAUAGCCGCAGUAUUCUAACUGUGCAAAGGUAGCAUAAUAAUUUGUCCUCUAAUUAAGGACUAGAAUGAAUGAUUUGACGAAGUUAAAACUUUCUCAUUAUUAUUAAUUAUUGAAAUUAAUUUUUAAGUUAAAAAGCUUAAAUAAUAUUAAAGGACGAGAAGACCCUAUAGAGUUUAAUAUUUUAUAUUAUAUUAAAAUUUAAUUUUUAUUUAAAAUAAUAUAAAUUAUUUUAUUGGGGAGAUAAUUAAAUUUAAAAAACUUUUUAUUUAUAAAAACAUUGAUUAUUGAUAUUUUGAUCCUAAAAUUUAGAUUAUUAGAAUAAAUUACCUUAGGGAUAACAGCGUUAUUUUAUUAAAAGUUCUUAUUAACAAUAAAAAUUGCGACCUCGAUGUUGGAUUAAAAUUUAUUUUAGGUGUAGAAGUUUAAAAAUUAGGUCUGUUCGACCUUUAAAAUUUUACA